GACGAACGCUGGCGGCGUGCUUAACACAUGCAAGUCGAACGAAGAGCGAUGGAAGCUUGCUUCUAUCAAUCUUAGUGGCGAACGGGUGAGUAACGCGUAAUCAACCUGCCCUUCAGAGGGGGACAACAGUUGGAAACGACUGCUAAUACCGCAUACGAUCUAAUCUCGGCAUCGAGGAUAGAUGAAAGGUGGCCUCUAUUUAUAAGCUAUCACUGAAGGAGGGGAUUGCGUCUGAUUAGCUAGUUGGAGGGGUAACGGCCCACCAAGGCGAUGAUCAGUAGCCGGUCUGAGAGGAUGAACGGCCACAUUGGGACUGAGACACGGCCCAGACUCCUACGGGAGGCAGCAGUGGGGAAUCUUCCGCAAUGGACGAAAGUCUGACGGAGCAACGCCGCGUGAGUGAUGACGGCCCUUUCGGGGUUGUAAAAGCUCUGUUAAAUCGGGACG
rnacentral:rRNA from 1 species